UUUCCCAGGUGAUUGGCUUCAGGGUCCAGGUGGGACCUAGUGGUAACUGAGUUGCAGGUAUGCCAUGACAGAGCUCAUUCUGCCUGGGCUGCUUUUUGGGCCUUGGAGAGAUGAAGUCCCCAUGGUGUGGAGUGGUGCAAAAAGUCUCUGACAUCCAGCCAAGAUGGACAAAGGAGAAGGACAAGGGAAAAGCCUGGGAGGAAGACUGUGAGCCUUCAGUACGAAAGACCCGCAGAGGGACCACCAGAGACUGAUAACACAUGCGCCAGUGGGCGGGUUCGGAUUCCAGGAACUAGUUAUAAUAACCCUGCCUUUUCUAGAAGUAGUAAUGAAUAUGUAUUAGCCUAGGAGCAUAAAAACCAGCUGCCUGCUGUGACUUGUGUGCGUCUCGGUGGAGCAGAGACUCCCGGCGCACCCAGUG